GACGAACGCUGGCGGCGUGCUUUACACAUGCAAGUCGAACGGAAAGGCCCUGCUUUUGUGGGGUGCUCGAGUGGCGAACGGGUGAGUAACACGUGAGUAACCUGCCCUUGACUUUGGGAUAACUUCAGUAAACUGGGGCUAAUACCGGAUAGGAGCUCCUGCUGCAUGGUGGGGGUUGGAAAGUUUCGGCGGUUGGGGAUGGACUCGCGGCUUAUCAGCUUGUUGGUGGGGUAGUGGCUUACCAAGGCUUUGACGGGUAGCCGGCCUGAGAGGGUGACCGGCCAAAUUGGGACUGAGAUACGGCCCAGACUCCUACGGGAGGCAGAAGUGGGGAAUAUUGCACAAUGGGCGGAAGCCUGAUGCAGCAACGCCGCGUGCGGGAUGACGGCCUUCGGGUUGUAAACCGCUUUCGCCUGUGACGAAGCGUGAGUGACGGUAAUGGGUAAAGAAGCACCGGCUAACUACGUG
rnacentral:rRNA from 1 species